rnacentral:rRNA from 1 species
CUACGGGAGGCUCCAGCAGUGAAUCAUUUACAAUGCACGCAAGUGUGAUAAUGCGAACCAAAGUGUUUUUCGUAUAGAAAAACUUUUUUCCACUGUAAAAAUGUGGAAGAAUAAGGACUGGGAAAGACUGGUGCCAGCCGCCGCGGUAAUACCAGCAGUUCAAGUUGCAUCCCUUUUUAUUGGGUCUAAAACAUCCGUAGCUUGCCAUUUAAGUCUCUUGUGAAAUCCUACGUCUCAAGCGUGGGGCUUGCAGGAGAUACUGGGUGGCUAGAGAUCGGUAGACGUAAGGAGUACGCCGGGGGUAACGGUUAAAUGUGUUAAUCCUCGGUGGACUAACAAUCAGCGAAGGCACCUUACGAGGACGAAUCUGACAGUGAGGGAUGAAGGCCAGGGGCGCAAAACGGAUUAGAUACCCUAGUAGUC